rnacentral:rRNA from 1 species
UCGGGAAUAUUGCGCAAUGGAGGGAACUCUGACGCAGUGACGCCGCGUAUAGGAAGAAGGUUUUCGGAUUGUAAACUAUUGUCGUUAGGGAAGAGAAAGGACAGUACCUAAGGAGGAAGCUCCGGCUAACUACGUGCCAGCAGCCGCGGUAAUACGUAGGGAGCGAGCGUUAUCCGGAAUUAUUGGGUGUAAAGGGUGCGUAGACGGGAGAACAAGUUAGUUGUGAAAUACCUCGGCUCAACUGAGGAACUGCAACUAAAACUGUACUUCUUGAGUGCAGGAGAGGUAAGUGGAAUUCCUAGUGUAGCGGUGAAAUGCGUAGAUAUUAGGAGGAACACCAGUGGCGAAGGCGACUUACUGGACUGUAACUGACGUUGAGGCACGAAAGUGUGGGGAGCAAACA